rnacentral:rRNA from 1 species
CCUACGGGUGGCAGCAGUAGGGAAUAUUGCUCAAUGGGGGAAACCCUGAAGCAGCGACGCCGCGUGAAGGAUGAAGGUUUUCGGAAUGUAAACCUCUUUUAGUAGGGAAGAAAAUGACGGUACCUAAUGAAUAAGCACCGGCUAACUCCGUGCCAGCAGCCGCGGUAAUACGGAGGGUGCAAGCGUUACUCGGAAUUACUGGGCGUAAAGGGCGCGUAGGCGGGAUCACAAGUCUGGUGUGAAAUACUGUGGCUUAACCAUAGAACUGCAUUUGAAACUGUUGUUCUAGAGUUGGGGAGAGGUAGGUGGAAUUCGUGGUGUAGGGGUGAAAUCCGUAGAGAUCAAGAGGAAUACUCAUUGCGAAGGCGACCUACUGGAACAUAACUGACGCUGAUGCGCGAAAGCGUGGGGAGCAAACAGGAUUAGAUACCCGAGUAGUC